rnacentral:lncRNA from 1 species
CUUAGUAAAUUAUAUUCGCCAAGACAUGUGAGACAACUUCUUUUCCGUUUUAUUUUAAUGCUAUCGCUAAUAAUUAAUCAGCUAUUAUUUGAUUAAAAAAAUAAUUAAUAUAUUGUACUAGUUCUUGUUUCUAUUUGAAAAUAAGAAUGAUCCAUUAUUGAGUUUCUAUGUGUUAUUGCAUUCACACAUUACACAUACAUACAUCUAACAUCUUAGUAUUGGAUACUUUAUAAAAAAAAAAAAAUCUAAUUCUGUUUACGAAAAAAAAAAUCCAAUUCUAUAUACAUCCAUAACACCUUGAGCUUCUUUCCUCGGUUUCUUUGUUUGUUUUCUAGGAUAUAGACAAGUUAAAUUAUAUAUAUUUUACUAAUUGAUCGGAAUGAGAAAGGAAAAUUUAAUGAUGAUUAACUAAAAUAAUAUGGUAUUUAGUUAGUAAAAUGAUUAGUCUUUACGCGUUUCAGCACCGCCGGACCGUCCUUAUUAUGACCAUAGUUUUUUUUUUUUCUCUUUUGACGACAGUUAUGACCAUCCUUUAGGGACCAAACAUAUCAAUUAAAACCAGUAAACUGAAUUGUCGCAAAUACUGUUUUAACUAAAAGCAUAAAUAAUGAUGGUUAUAAACAUUCUAAUACUAGUAUUUCACUCACGAAGUCAGUUUAAAAACUCACACUCUAUGGAGUUG